GCUGACCCGCGGGGAGAGGAGCAGGCUGGAACCCCAGACCACCGAGGCCAGGCGUGCCGAGACCCAGGCGGAUACGCGGCUGCUCACAGAAGUCCAAGAGGGGACAGAGCUGUCGGCUGCGAUGACCCCAGAGAUGCAGGGGAGCUGUGGAUGGCAGCACUGGUAGCUCCGGGGAACUAGACAUUGCUCCGGUUGUAGAACCAGGAACCAAGUCAGCGUUUUUUGGGUGGAUCCCUGCUGACCCAGUGGCGAAUACAUUCACCGCUGAUAGGGCCCUGGGCCAGGACCCGGUGGAGUAGGGAGGGCCCGGAUGCCAGCCCACUCUCCUCUGGCCACCAGUUCAUGCAGCCCUGCAUAGGAGGGUGGCCUUAUUGACUCUGGCCUCUAGGCCACGCAGUCCUGCGUAGGAAGGUAUUCUUACUGACUCUGGCCAUUAGGCCAUACUGCCCCCAGGCUAACGGUGGUCAUUUGGACUUAGCUGCAGGGCUGUAACGCCCCUCCCUUCUCCCCAAAGGGCGACGGGGUAUACCUGCCCCAUGACAGGAAGGCAAACAGGGGCAUGAGGGCAGAAAUGACUCAUGAUCUAAUGUGAGCCCCGGGGCAACCGGCACUGGCAGCAACGCAAGGGGAGCUGGGCUUCCAUGGGGCCCACUCUGACUGUGCCCUGCCCCACACACUGCCCUCAACAUGGACCCAGCAUGGUCACAGUCAGCCCUCCGUCCACUGAGGACGGCAGGAGCAGGAAUGGGCAUUAAACUGGCAAAAGGCUGGACCCUUGGCUGGGCACUCCCCUCCCCAGCCUGCCCUGCAGACCCGACAGCGCUCGGUGCUCAGCUUCAUGCAGGGGCAGCGGUUACAGGCACACACGGAGCUCCUGGUAAAGAAGCCACAGCUGUAUGGACAGCUCGAAUACACGGCCCGGUGACGACAGUGAGGACAUGGCUGCGGCCUCGGACCACAGCACCCCCCAGCUGACGUAAGGGUAAGGGUGCACUUACCCCCUCGCCCUCCAACCUGGAUAAUGGGCAUCUGGGGGCUCUGGAACAGACCGCCACCUCCCAAACAUUACUGACAUCGCCGUUCCAACCCCCCCGAGCCCAGCACACACUCACGCUCACCGUGCUCCCCCCACACCUCUCCCAUCAGCCACACACGCGCUUCCAGCCUUUUACUCUCACACUCCCACACACAACCCUGCAAAGCUUACCAAGGGCUGACACUCCCCUGGGGUUGCCUUGUCCCUGUCUCCAGCACGCCCAGCGUGGGUCUAGCAUCCAGCAGCCACGUGUGCAGCAAGGAAGCAGAAGCACAGGGAGACCCUCUGGCACAAGGCCAGGCCCCCUAGCCCUACAGAGACGCACAAGAUGAUUUUAAAGCCAAAAAAAACCCAAUCCAGGCAAAGCCUGUGGCCAUCCAGAGCCUAACCUCCCAUGGAAGCCAAUGGUCUUUGGGGCCGAGUGCAUCCUGCAGGACUGACCCACAGCCGCAAAGAUGGACCAGAAUCAACCACCUGGCUACCAGCUCCUUGAGGGGCGGCCAGAGGCUCUGGCUCUGGGUCUAAAGGUGCCAGAAGCCCAGAGGUUCACAAAGAGGUGGGGUGGAGCAAGUUCCUCUGCUCCUUCACCUCCUAUGCCUGGACAGAGCCUGGUGAUGGGACCAGCCCUGAGCUGGGCCCUCCCGCAAAGCCCUGCCUGGAGGGCAGACCCAGGUUAAACUCCCAGGACCUUUGCAUGGCCUGUGAUGGCCCUGUGAGGAGAGCGCUGCAUUUGGAGAUGCAGGGCAGAGGCCUGGACAUGAAGCCCAGCCUCCCUUCCCCUCCGGCCCCUCUCCAGCUGCCAUCCCCGAGUGCACAGCGUAGGGGGCAGUGCUUCCAGAGGGGAGGGGUCUGAGGCCGGACGUGGGCCAUGAAGUUUCCCAGCAUGAUCGUCUCCACCACGCUGUGCUGCGAGAGGAAGGCGUGAGCAGAGGGGGUCGCAGUGCAUGCACUGAGCAUGGAAGUCAUUGCGGAUGGAAGGGCUCAUCUCCCCCGACCGGGGCCAGCCCCCUGCACAUCUCCUGGCUACUUCCCUCACGGAGGAGGGGUCUACAAAAUCCAUCCUGCCUGCUGUUGUGAGGGAACGAGAGUCUAUAUUCCAGACUCCUGGGGCUCUCACUGCUGCUAACACCCCACCUGCCAGGCCCAUUCAGCCAGGGCCUUGCUGAGGGGCCCGGGAGGCCCACAGCUCUGGAGCCUGGAAGAAAGCGAUGAGCGGGGUUGGUGCUCAUCUGAACUUUGGCUGUGACUCUGCCACUCGCUGGCUCCUUUUUCCUGUUUACAAACUGCUCUCGUUGCCGCUCACGUUGCUGCUCUCUUUGCCACACACUGCGAGAUGGGAUUGGAUCCCAAAGUGAACAAAAUACAACAGAACGGCGUGGCAUGUGACGGUACCCGGAGCUUGUGCAAUUCACAGCCCAGAGUGCUCAGCUGUCCAGGCUGUCCCUGGGGUGCAGAGCAGGGGGAGGGCCUAAUACAGUACAUCCCCAUUGUCCUCAGCGGAAAGACCCCCGCUGACUUCAACGGGUUUUGCAUUUAGAUACUCCAGUGACGAGCGCCCUAGAAACACUCUGCGACAGGUCGGUAGGAUGUGUCUGUGACCAUGGGUGCCCACCUAGCUCAUUAGUGGUUCCAUUAAAGGUUGCACCCAUUUUUCUUUACAUGUCUGCAAACACUUAUGCCACCAGUUUUCACUCCAUGAAUGUUUUGGGACCAGAUUUUAUACCUGUACCGUCACAAUGCACAAGCACGUUCAGCCAAGCAGUGCUCUGGAUGCCCGUCUAUCUCCAAUUAGCUUUCCAGCUGAUAAAACCGGCCUCUAACUCUCUCUCUUUGCUUCAGGCAGGAAGGAUCCCAGCUCUGUUUAAUUCUGAGGUCCAUGGCCACAGCCAUAUGUAAUGCUCUUUCUUGUGCAAAAGAGGGUAGGAGGAGAUUGUGUUGAAUAUUCACACUUCCCAGGCCUGCUUGUCUCCUAUAGGGCUCUGUCCUCACUUCUCUCCCAGAAAGAUGCAACACUUCUAGGGCACUCCGCCUGGUUAUAAGGGAAGGUCAUUUGGUCAUUCAGUGAGGGAACAGAAACACUCCCAUGUGCCAGAGA